UACGUAGGGGGCAAGCGUUGUCCGGAUUUAUUGGGCGUAAAGCGCGUGUAGGCGGCCAGAAAAGUCCGCUGUGAAGACUCGAGGCUCAACUUCGAGCUGUCGGUGGAAACUUUCUGGCUAGAGUCCGGAAGAGGAGAAUGGAAUUCCUGGUGUAGCGGUGAAAUGCGCAGAUAUCAGGAAGAACACCCGUGGCGAAGGCGGUUCUCUGGGACGGUACUGACGCUGAGACGCGAAAGCGUGGGGAGCGAACAGG
rnacentral:rRNA from 1 species